AUACGUAGGGGGCGAGCGUUGUCCGGAAUGAUUGGGCGUAAAGGGCGCGUAGGCGGCGCGGAAAGUCUGGAGUGAAAGUCCUGCUUUCAAGGGGGGAAUUGCUUUGGAUACUGCCGCGCUUGAGUGCAGGAGAGGUUAUCGGAAUUCCCGGUGUAGCGGUGAAAGGGGUAGAGAUCGGGAGGAACACCAGUGGCGAAGGCGGGUAACUGGACUGCAACUGACGCUGAGGCGCGAAAGUGUGGGGAGCAAACAGGAUUAGAUACCCUGGUAGUCCACACUGUAAACGAUGAAUGCUAGGUGUAAGAGGUAUCGACCCCUUUUGUGCCGGAGUCAACACAAUAAGCAUUCCGCCUGGGGAGUACGGCCGCAAGGUUGAAACUCAAAUGAAUUGACGGGG
rnacentral:rRNA from 1 species